rnacentral:rRNA from 1 species
UACGUAGGGGGCAAGCGUUGUCCGGAAUCAUUGGGCGUAAAGAGCGCGUAGGCGGCCCUGUAAGUCCGCUGUGAAAGUCAAGGGCUCAACCCUUGAAUGCCGGUGGAUACUGCAGGGCUAGAGUCCGGAAGAGGCGAGUGGAAUUCCUGGUGUAGCGGUGAAAGUGCGCAGAUAUCAGGAGGAACGACCGAUGGCGAAGGCAGCUCGCUGGGACGUAACUGACGCUGAGACGCGAAAGCGUGGGAGCAAACAGGAU